UACGUAGGGCGCAAGCGUUAUCCGGAAUUAUUGGGCGUAAAGAGCUCGUAGGCGGUUUGUCGCGUCUGCCGUGAAAGUCCGGGGCUCAACUCCGGAUCUGCGGUGGGUACGGGCAGACUAGAGUGAUGUAGGGGAGACUGGAAUUCCUGGUGUAGCGGUGAAAUGCGCAGAUAUUAGGAAGAACACCGGUGGCGAAGGCGGCUCUCUGGAACGGUACUGACGCUGAGACGCGAAAGCGUGGGGAGCGAACAGG
rnacentral:rRNA from 1 species